rnacentral:rRNA from 1 species
CAUACGGCUCAGUAACGCGUAGUCAACCUAACCUAUGGACGGGAAUAACCUCGGGAAACUGAGAAUAAUGCCCGAUAGAGCAUUAUGCCUGGAAUGGUUUAUGUUCCAAAUGAUUUAUCGCCGUAGGAUGGGACUGCGGCCUAUCAGUUUGCUGGUGAGGUAAUGGCCCACCAAGACUAUUACAGGUACGGGCUCUGAGAGGAGUAGCCCGGAGAUGGGUACUGAGACACGGACCCAGGCCCUAUGGGGCGCAGCAGGCGAGAAAACUUUGCAAUGUGCGAAAGCACGACAAGGUUAAUCCGAGUGGUUUCUGCUAAAGAAACCUUUUGUCAGUCCUAGAAACACUGAUGAAUAAGGGGUGGGCAAGUUCUGGUGUCAGCCGCCGCGGUAAAACCAGCACCUCAAGUGGUCAGGAUGAUUAUUGGGCCUAAAGCAUCCGUAGCCGGCUCUGUAAGUUUUCGGUUAAAUCUGUACGCUCAACGUACAGGCUGCCGGGAAUACUGCAGAGCUAGGGAGUGGGAGAGGUAGACGGUACUCGGUAGGAAGGGGUAAAAUCCUUUGAUCUAUUGAUGACCACCUGUGGCGAAGGCGGUCUACCAGAACACGUCCGACGGUGAGGGAUGAAAGCUGGGGGAGCAAACCGGAUUAGAUACCCGGGUAGUCCCAGCUGUAAACUAUGCAAACUCAGUGAUGCAUUGGCUUGUGGCCAAUGCAGUGCUGCAGGGAAGCCGUUAAGUUUGCCGCCUGGGAAGUACGUACGCAAGUAUGAAACUUAAAGGAAUUGGCGGGGGAGCACCACAAGGGGUGAAGCCUGCGGUUCAAUUGGAGUCAACGCCGGG